ensembl:snRNA U4 U4 spliceosomal RNA
AGCUUUGCGCAGUGGCAGUAUCGUAGCCAAUGAGGUUUAUCCGAGGCGCGAUUAUUGCUAAUUGAAAAAAUAUGGACUGUCCCUAUAGUAGUUCUCCCCAUCUCACGGGUGUCUGCUUCCCUUUUCUUUGACCUCCACUGGU